UGCCCCUCACUUGCUAGCACGUCUAGAUCAGCCAGGACGUAGGCAUGUGUAGUGUAUUUUGUCGGGUUUCGAGAUCAAGAAUCGAUGUCCCUUUGUUGGUUGGUUUUCCGAGAAUCCUUGACCCUUGACCCUUUGUUGGCCACUCGGCAAAAUGCCCCUCACUUGCUAGCACGUCUAGAUCAGCCAGGACGUAGGCAUGUGUAGCGUAUUUUGUCGGGUUUCGAGAUCAAGAAUCGAUGUCCCUUUGUUGGUUGGUUUUCCGAGAAUCCUUGACCCUUGAUUUGUUACUUUCGCAUCGUUCGGUGCAUUCUGGGGGAUGUUUUGGCUUUUGGUGGCUUACUUGGCCUUUUGGCUGGGUUUGUUGCUAUUGGUCGGGCGGCUUUCGGGAAUGUCGACCGUGGAGGUGCAUGAGUGGUGUUUGGUUUGUUACGUGUGGAUGGCUGUUUGCUUGCGCAACAACGUUCACGCUGCAUACCUCUUCAGUUUUGCGGCAAGGCUUGGUUUGGCUUGUGCAUAUUGUGGGUUUACUGUGUUGCAUACCUAGUUGAAGGAAAAGUGUGGGUUUUAUGAUUUUCAUUUUCGUCCUGCGUCGUUCUUUCGGCAUGGGAUGAGCAAUGCAGCGAUCUUUAUGAUCCAUCGUGCUGUUGCGUUUGCAACAAUGAUGUGGCCUAUGAAGCAUCGUUUGGUCUCUUGUAUACGGAAGCUCAUUUGGGCUUGGGUCUUUAUAAGAUCUUCGUUAUGCCCUUGUUAAGCGUUCUCGCUUCUCCUAAACGAUU
rnacentral:misc_RNA from 1 species